AUUUAAAUAGCUUAUAUAUAGAGUGUAAUAUUGAAGAUAUUAAGGAGAUUUUUUUAAUCUUUAAAUAA
rnacentral:tRNA from 1 species